rnacentral:rRNA from 1 species
GGGUUGUGAGGUUAAGCGACUAAGCGUACACGGUGGAUGCCCUGGCAGUCAGAGGCGAUGAAGGACGUGCUAAUCUGCGAUAAGCGUCGGUAAGGUGAUAUGAACCGUUAUAACCGGCGAUUUCCGAAUGGGGAAACCCAGUGUGUUUCGACACACUAUCAUUAACUGAAUCCAUAGGUUAAUGAGGCGAACCGGGGGAACUGAAACAUCUAAGUACCCCGAGGAAAAGAAAUCAACCGAGAUUCCCCCAGUAGCGGCGAGCGAACGGGGAGCAGCCCAGAGCCUGAAUCAGUGUGUGUGUUAGUGGAAGCGUCUGGAAAGGCGCGCGAUACAGGGUGACAGCCCCGUACACAAAAAUGCACAUGCUGUGAGCUCGAUGAGUAGGGCGGGACACGUGGUAUCCUGUCUGAAUAUGGGGGGACCAUCCUCCAAGGCUAAAUACUCCUGACUGACCGAUAGUGAACCAGUACCGUGAGGGAAAGGCGAAAAGAACCCCGGCGAGGGGAGUGAAAAAGAACCUGAAACCGUGUACGUACAAGCAGUGGGAGCACGCUUAGGCGUGUGACUGCGUACCUUUUGUAUAAUGGGUCAGCGACUUAUAUUCUGUAGCAAGGUUAACCGAAUAGGGGAGCCGAAGGGAAACCGAGUCUUAACUGGGCGUUAAGUUGCAGGGUAUAGACCCGAAACCCGGUGAUCUAGCCAUGGGCAGGUUGAAGGUUGGGUAACACUAACUGGAGGACCGAACCGACUAAUGUUGAAAAAUUAGCGGAUGACUUGUGGCUGGGGGUGAAAGGCCAAUCAAACCGGGAGAUAGCUGGUUCUCCCCGAAAGCUAUUUAGGUAGCGCCUCGUGAAUUCAUCUCCGGGGGUAGAGCACUGUUUCGGCAAGGGGGUCAUCCCGACUUACCAACCCGAUGCAAACUGCGAAUACCGGAGAAUGUUAUCACGGGAGACACACGGCGGGUGCUAACGUCCGUCGUGAAGAGGGAAACAACCCAGACCGCCAGCUAAGGUCCCAAAGUCAUGGUUAAGUGGGAAACGAUGUGGGAAGGCCCAGACAGCCAGGAUGUUGGCUUAGAAGCAGCCAUCAUUUAAAGAAAGCGUAAUAGCUCACUGGUCGAGUCGGCCUGCGCGGAAGAUGUAACGGGGCUAAACCAUGCACCGAAGCUGCGGCAGCGACGCUGAUGCGUUGUUGGGUAGGGGAGCGUUCUGUAAGCCUGCGAAGGUGUGCUGUGAGGCAUGCUGGAGGUAUCAGAAGUGCGAAUGCUGACAUAAGUAACGAUAAAGCGGGUGAAAAGCCCGCUCGCCGGAAGACCAAGGGUUCCUGUCCAACGUUAAUCGGGGCAGGGUGAGUCGACCCCUAAGGCGAGGCCGAAAGGCGUAGUCGAUGGGAAACAGGUUAAUAUUCCUGUACUUGGUGUUACUGCGAAGGGGGGACGGAGAAGGCUAUGUUGGCCGGGCGACGGUUGUCCCGGUUUAAGCGUGUAGGCUGGUUUUCCAGGCAAAUCCGGAAAAUCAAGGCUGAGGCGUGAUGACGAGGCACUACGGUGCUGAAGCAACAAAUGCCCUGCUUCCAGGAAAAGCCUCUAAGCAUCAGGUAACAUCAAAUCGUACCCCAAACCGACACAGGUGGUCAGGUAGAGAAUACCAAGGCGCUUGAGAGAACUCGGGUGAAGGAACUAGGCAAAAUGGUGCCGUAACUUCGGGAGAAGGCACGCUGAUAUGUAGGUGAAGUCCCUCGCGGAUGGAGCUGAAAUCAGUCGAAGAUACCAGCUGGCUGCAACUGUUUAUUAAAAACACAGCACUGUGCAAACACGAAAGUGGACGUAUACGGUGUGACGCCUGCCCGGUGCCGGAAGGUUAAUUGAUGGGGUCNNNNNNNNNNNNNNNNNNNNNNNNNNNNNNNNNNNNNNNNNNNNNNNNNNNNNNNNNNNNNNNNNNNNNNNNNNNNNNNNNNNNNNNNNNNNNNNNNNNNNNNNNNAGGCGAAGCUCUUGAUCGAAGCCCCGGUAAACGGCGGCCGUAACUAUAACGGUCCUAAGGUAGCGAAAUUCCUUGUCGGGUAAGUUCCGACCUGCACGAAUGGCGUAAUGAUGGCCAGGCUGUCUCCACCCGAGACUCAGUGAAAUUGAACUCGCUGUGAAGAUGCAGUGUACCCGCGGCAAGACGGAAAGACCCCGUGAACCUUUACUAUAGCUUGACACUGAACAUUGAGCCUUGAUGUGUAGGAUAGGUGGGAGGCUUUGAAGUGUGGACGCCAGUCUGCAUGGAGCCGACCUUGAAAUACCACCCUUUAAUGUUUGAUGUUCUAACGUGGACCCGUGAUCCGGGUUGCGGACAGUGUCUGGUGGGUAGUUUGACUGGGGCGGUCUCCUCCUAAAGAGUAACGGAGGAGCACGAAGGUUGGCUAAUCCUGGUCGGACAUCAGGAGGUUAGUGCAAUGGCAUAAGCCAGCUUGACUGCGAGCGUGACGGCGCGAGCAGGUGCGAAAGCAGGUCAUAGUGAUCCGGUGGUUCUGAAUGGAAGGGCCAUCGCUCAACGGAUAAAAGGUACUCCGGGGAUAACAGGCUGAUACCGCCCAAGAGUUCAUAUCGACGGCGGUGUUUGGCACCUCGAUGUCGGCUCAUCACAUCCUGGGGCUGAAGUAGGUCCCAAGGGUAUGGCUGUUCGCCAUUUAAAGUGGUACGCGAGCUGGGUUUAGAACGUCGUGAGACAGUUCGGUCCCUAUCUGCCGUGGGCGCUGGAGAACUGAGGGGGGCUGCUCCUAGUACGAGAGGACCGGAGUGGACGCAUCACUGGUGUUCGGGUUGUCAUGCCAAUGGCACUGCCCGGUAGCUAAAUGCGGAAGAGAUAAGUGCUGAAAGCAUCUAAGCACGAAACUUGCCCCGAGAUGAGUUCUCCCUGACUCCUUGAGAGUCCUGAAGGAACGUUGAAGACGACGACGUUGAUAGGCCGGGUGUGUAAGCGCAGCGAUGCGUUGAGCUAACCGGUACUAAUGAACCGUGAGGCUUAACCUUACAACGCCGAAGCUGUU